GAGUGGGGGUACUACCAGUGGGGUGGCACCCAAGGCAAAGGCACCGGGUCCUGGGAGGGACCAGGGGCCAGUGGUAAGGUGGAUCACCAGCCUGCGGAGGGCGCUCUGGGCUGGAAAUCAAGCUAAUUAUCAAGGAUGACCAGAAGGAGGCGCCGCCGGAUGAGCCCCUGAAGGUUCAGUAGUGACCCUCAGGCCAUUUGGGAGAAAUAUGCUGAGAGAGACAAUAUGACUACCUGACAAAUCUCUUUCCUUGGUGAGUGACAAACCUGGGGAGUCUCAGGCCACACAGCGGCCCUUUCAAUGGGCAUUCGGGCACCAAGAAAUCAUCACAGCCUCAAGCAGUUAACAUGCUAUCAGUUAAUACCAGAGAGAGAGAGACUAUCACUGCAAGCAAAAAACAAAUACUGGAAUGAAGAUUCCUGGAGAUCUGCAGGUGAAGGAAACCCUUGGCUACUUCCACAUAAGAGGCAAACCUUCAAUGGGAAAAUGAGCAGGAUACUCUGUGGACUUUCCUUUUGUCGUUGUGGAUUAUUUCCAAGUUAUGGGAUCUUUAAUUCUCAAAUCAGUGGGAAAGUUGUUAGAGUAAAGAGUUCAGGAUCAGGCUGUAGCUUAUUAAAUAAAAAAGUUAGACAAUCAA